AGGCGCAGGACGGGGCAAACAUAAACACCAGAUCGGUGCAGUAAUUGGCGGCUCCGAGAUCGCUGAGGAAAUGAGAGGCUUGUACGAAACAUCAGCCGACAAGAAACGGGGUGAUGUCAGACAGCCUUCCAGGAUUAGAAACCCUUAAAAGCUCCGAGCCCGCGGCGGCUGCGGAAAAGCGCGCUCGGCUCUGGCUCUCCGGAUAGGAGCCCAAAGAGUUCAUUCUUGUCUUUGCAGCAGGGACCCAGGAAAAGGUCAGAGCCAGGCCAGGGCAGCCUGGGAGGGGCCUCCAUCAGGAAGGAAAUCAAUAGGAAAUGCCUGUCGAAAAUGAGAUCUUUUAGAAAGCAUGUCCUGUCAUCAUUCUGGAUGCAAAGGUGGGGGCCUGCUAUGGAAACAGGAAAGGGGAAAACAGAGGCAGCCAAUGAGAGGGAAAGGGGAGGCCUCCUCCUUCCCACGCCCACACUGGCAGCUGUGGAGGCAGCAGGCCUAGAAGACCUGUAAAACAGUCUUGGGUGGGUUAUGAAAAUCUUCUCUACAUGUCUGUAGGAACUGCUGUGUCCUCAGAGCCCAUUACAAGGAGCUAAAACCAUGAGGCAGGGACACACAGGGAGCAAUGGUACAGAAUGGUUAAGGACCCCCUGUAGUGGGUAGCCAUUCCAGCUUUGGUCUGGAAGUUCCAACCCCCAUUGAGGCUUAGGUAACUAUCACACCUACAAGGCGAGGCCGAGGGAGGGCCCUGAAGACCCGAGAUCAGGACACACCAUGCUUUCUUGUUCCUGGACCCUGGACGGUGGAGGUUGACCGAGCAGAGCUCCAGAGAACACCACUGGACUGCGAUACACCUUCCCCAGACCCUGCGACCUACCUAUCCCUUCAUUUGUAAG